rnacentral:rRNA from 1 species
AGUGAACGCUGGCGGCAGGCUUAACACAUGCAAGUCGAGCGGGGUGAUGGUGCUUGCACUAUCACUUAGCGGCGGACGGGUGAGUAAUGCUUAGGAAUCUGCCUAUUAGUGGGGGACAACAUCUCGAAAGGGAUGCUAAUACCGCAUACGUCCUACGGUAGAAAGCAGGGGAUCACUUGUCACCUUGCGCUAAUAGAUGAGCCUAAGUCGGAUUAGCUAGUUGGUGGGGUAAAGGCCUACCAAGGCGACGCUCUGUAGCGGUGAUGAGAGGAUGAUCCGCCAAACUGGGACUGAGACACGGCCCAGACUCCUACGGGAGGCAGCAGUGGGGAAUAUUGGACAAUGGGGGGAACCCUGAUCCAGCCAUGCCGCGUGUGUGAAGAAGGCCUUAUGGUUGUAAAGCAUUUUAAGCGAGGAGGAGGCUCUUUUGGUUAAUACCCAAGAUGAGUGGACGUUACUCGCAGAAUAAGCACCGGCUAACUCUGUGCCAGCCGCCGCCGUAA